GAAUCCCUUCAUCGAACGAGAAAUGUUUUCCAUUUGGUUGAAGUAUGGAAGACUGAUUGUGAAAUGUUUGUUCCAUUACUUAUUGGUGGUAUAUUACGUGAUAGUGAACAUGCUAACUGCUCUUCAACAGAAUCACGUACUAUAAUAUGUGUGGAUGGAAAAGGUCGGCAGCAUUUAAAAAUUGUUGAAUUCUGUCAGUGUAUUAAGUAUGCUGAAAAACUAAUUAAACUCCAGCUGUGGCCAGACCCAUCAAAUAGUGGAAAUAGAUGGGUUGUACUUUGCAAAAAAAAUUUAUUGAAUCACUGUUAUUUACAAACAACAUAAAUAAUGUGUAUUUGCCUCAAAUAAGGUAAGAGCACAUU